GGGGAUUUAGCUCAGUGGUAGAGCGCUUGCCUAGCAAGCACAAGGCCCUGGAUUCGAUCCUCAGCUCCA
rnacentral:tRNA from 1 species